rnacentral:rRNA from 1 species
UUGAACGCUGGCGGCAGGCCUAACACAUGCAAGUCGAACGGUAACAGGAAGAAGCUUGCUUCUUUGCUGACGAGUGGCGGACGGGUGAGUAAUGUCUGGGAAACUGCCUGAUGGAGGGGGAUAACUACUGGAAACGGUAGCUAAUACCGCAUAACGUCGCAAGACCAAAGAGGGGGACCUUCGUGCCUCUUGCCAUCGGAUGUGCCCAGAUGGGAUUAGCUAGUAGGUGGGGUAACGGCUCACCUAGGCGACGAUCCCUAGCUGGUCUGAGAGGAUGACCAGCCACACUGGAACUGAGACACGGUCCAGACUCCUACGGGAGGCAGCAGUGGGGAAUAUUGCACAAUGGGCGCAAGCCUGAUGCAGCCAUGCCGCGUGUAUGAAGAAGGCCUUCGGGUUGUAAAGUACUUUCAGCGGGGAGGAAGGGAGUAAAGUUAAUACCUUUGCUCAUUGACGUUACCCGCAGAAGAAGCACCGGCUAACUCCGUG